CCUACGGGAGGCUGCAGUAGGGAAUUUUUCACAAUGGACGAAAGUCUGAUGGAGCAAUACCACGUGAACGAUGAAGGUCUUCUGAUUGUAAAGUUCUUUUAUUUAGGAAAAAAAGCGUGCUAGGAAAUGAGCGCGCCUUGAUGGUACUAAUUGAAUAAGUGACAGCUAACUAUGUGCCAGCAGCUGCGGUAAAACAUAGGUCACGAGCAUUAUCCGGAUUUAUUGGGCGUAAAGGAAGCGUAGGCGGGGAGGUUGAUCCAUUGUUAAAAGCAUUUGCUUAACAAAUGUGUGCAUUGGAGAUCGCCUCCCUAGAGUUAAUCAGGGGGUACUGGAAUUCAAUGUGUAGCGGUGGAAUGCGUAGAUAUAUUGAGGAACACCAGAGGCUAAGGCGAGUGCCUAGGAUAUAACUGACGCUGAGGCUUGAAAGCGUGGGGAGCAAAUGGGAUUAGAUACCCUGGUAGUC
rnacentral:rRNA from 1 species